AAUUCUAUAGUCAGUAUGAUAUUAAAUUGCAAAUUUAAAGGUGAGAUUGAUAUCUCUAGAAUUU
rnacentral:tRNA from 1 species